UUACAACCAAAUCAAGCCUAAUUCGAACUUCUCAUAUGAGAAAUAUGUGAUAAAUCAGUGUGUCCUAACGCUUUAAAGUUAAUUCAGACCAUAACUAGUAUUUGAAAUCAUGCUAUAUAAUUUGCUCCUUAAGUAAGGAGGAAUAUUUGAGACUUAACUACUAUUUGAUUUCCCCCUUACUGCUUAUGUGUUCUUGUUUCGUCUUAGACUUUUAUCCUUUUAAACCCUGAAAUGCCCCAACUCCUUGCCCUUUAGGAUUAGUAGUCCUAACUCCUCCGGGACUGAUUGGAUUGGAACAGGUAAUAGCAUGCAAUAAGUAACGAUACUAUAUCGCGCUUAAUACCUUAACAGCGGAGGAAGGGUGAUAUGGAUAUGAUGAACGGUGCGCUAAAUACCUCACGUAUUCCCUCACUUUUGAGGAGUGAUUAC
rnacentral:lncRNA from 1 species